rnacentral:rRNA from 1 species
AUUGAACGCUGGCGGCAGGCCUAACACAUGCAAGUCGAACGGUAACAGGAAGAAGCUUGCUUCUUUGCUGACGAGUGGCGGACGGGUGAGUAAUGUCUGGGAAACUGCCUGAUGGAGGGGGAUAACUACUGGAAACGGUAGCUAAUACCGCAUAACGUCGCAAGACCAAAGAGGGGGACCUUCGGGCCUCUUGCCAUCGGAUGUGCCCAGAUGGGAUUAGCUAGUAGGUGGGGUAACGGCUCACCUAGGCGACGAUCCCUAGCUGGUCUGAGAGGAUGACCAGCCACACUGGAACUGAGACACGGUCCAGACUCCUACGGGAGGCAGCAGUGGGGAAUAUUGCACAAUGGGCGCAAGCCUGAUGCAGCCAUGCCGCGUGGAUGAAGAAGGCCUUCGGGUUGUAAAGUACUUUCAGCGGGGAGGAAGGGAGUAAAGUUAAUACCUUUACUCAUUGACGUGACCCGCAGAAGAAGCACCGGCUAACUCCGU